rnacentral:rRNA from 1 species
CCUACGGGAUGCAGUAGUGAGGAAUAUUGGUCAAUGGGCGUAAGCCUGAACCAGCCAAGUCGCGUGAGGGAUGAAGGUUCUAUGGAUCGUAAACCUCUUUUAUAAGGGAAUAAAGUGUGGGACGUGUCCUGUUUUGUAUGUACCUUAUGAAUAAGGAUCGGCUAACUCCGUGCCAGCAGCCGCGGUAAUACGGAGGAUCCGAGCGUUAUCCGGCUUUAUUGGGUUUAAAGGGUGCGUAGGCGGCCUUUUAAGUCAGCGGUGAAAGUCUGUGGCUCAACCAUAGAAUUGCCGUUGAAACUGGGAGGCUUGAGUAUGUUUGAGGCAGGCGGAAGGCGUGGUGUAGCGGUGAAAUGCUUAGAUAUCACGCAGAACCCCGAUUGCGAAGGCAGCCUGCCAAGCCAUGACUGACGCUGAUGCACGAAAGCGUGGGGAUCAAACAGGAUUAGAUACCCGUGUAGUC